CCAAUAACAGGGUUGUGGAAAUCAAGACAUGUUGACAGUGGUAAAAGAUUGUUCAACAAUUUAUUUACUUUUAAAUCAAGAAAGUAAAGAAAGUUUGCUCAUGUGAUAAACAAAGGAAAUGAAGAUUAACCUCAAAAACAUAUGCACUCCAUAUGGUUCGCUCUAAUGGAAAUCCAUCUUUUGUCCGCCAAUCCUCAUAAUCCGUACCGAACCGCUCAUGUUGCAUCUCAUCUUGUUCAUUUUGCAAGAUCUCCUCCUCCCCCAACUAUUUCAUGGAUGUGUCGUCAAUUUCCUUACACUACGUUGGAUCCUCUCAAAAAUUUCAUCAGCGAGCAGGCAUGUCCUUUUUGUGGAAGGUGUCACAGGCGAGUUAGGUCUCGCUAGUCUUGUCACGAGUAUUGCUGGCGACCGUGCCCUUCUUGUCACGGCUGUUGCAGGAGAGCGAGCUGCCAAAUAGACCCCAUACACCAACAAGCCUAGUUUAAAAGAAUAAUAAUAAUAGUAACAAUAAUAAUAAUAAUAAUAAUAAUAAAUAAAUCAAACACACAUUUUUUAAGUUGCAACUUUUUGGAAGCAAAUAUGCAAGUAUGUAUGGAUGUUUAUUGUACACUUGUAAAUUUUCAUGGACAAAUAGGGUUUUUUUAAGAGCGUGCCCGUGGUCUACCUGUAUGACAGACCAAAAGUGAAAUGGGAUCCCCUUUCGUCCAUUUAAACUUGAAUAUGUAGUUUUCCUCUAAAAAAUCCUACGUUAGAAACGAAAAAUGGACGUGAAAAAAUAGGUUAAAUGUGAGAAAAUAUGGUUGUUCUUCAAAAAAUCCUACCUUAGAAAUCAAAUUGUUAGAUAAAAAUGGCUCAAAUAUUUGCAGAAACCAGAAAACUUGUCCUUAAUAAAUACAAUGUAAAAAAAAUAAACUUAAUGUGAGACCAAUAUGAUUUUUCCUUUCCUUUUCCCUCAAAAAAAUGAUUUUCCUUCAAAAAUCCUACCUUACAAAGGUAGUUUUAUAAGAUAAAAAUGGCUGCCAGGUUAGAGAACUUUUAUUAAGAAUAAGGCAUCUACCAGCUCAUUGCUUCUUCGUCGCUGUGCACACAAAUAAUAGAACUUUUAUUAAGUGUUGACUCCAGGUGAAAGAUACCUGCAGACGUGCUUUCCCUCAAAAAAAGAAAAACCCUGCAACGUGCUUUCACUAAAAAAAAAACUGCAGAUGUGCUUGGGCGGUUAUUACUUCUUUCGCGCCCACGAAAUUAAUUUCCGCGCCAUCGCACGCCGCUCACCCACCAAUUCCUAAUAUCGUACGGUCUCCCACUUCCGAUCACAACGAACUCAUUUGUCUUACUCCAAAACCGAUCCAAAUCUUCUGAAAUUCAAGUCCUUCUUCUUGCCGGUUGUGUGGGAGAAGAGUUCAUCUGCUUUUCUGCGAUGGACGACCACAGACGCGGCGAGUCCUCUGCUUCCCCUCCGAUGGACCAAAAACGAAACAACCCCAGCGGAGCACCAGGGUAUAUCUCUCGUUCCUGAUCUUUUUCACUCCCUGGGUCUCUCUCCUGCAGUCCCCUCUCCAGCGGAGCGCCAAGGUCUCUCUCUCACUCACUCCCUGGAUCUCUCUCCUGCAGGCUGCAGUCUCCUCUGUAACGUAUUGUGGGUGCCGCAUAGCCUGCUAGGACAUAUAGCCUGCACGAUCGCAGUCAAACGGCAGCCGCAUCACUUGGGCAUGCUGCUUUCCCCCUGCCCGGCAGCCGGCUCGACGCCUCGACGCCACCUAAGGCACGCCGCUUGGCCCGCUUGGCGCCCAGGCGCCCAGCUCAUCACCAGCUGCUCCGUGCUGCUCCCCGCUUGUGUCGC
rnacentral:lncRNA from 1 species